rnacentral:ncRNA from 1 species
AAUCAUGCGAUGACAAAGAGUAGUACAUACAACUCGGUUUCCCAGAGAGUUUGUGGCAGGUGUGAACAAACAACCGGCUGUAUGGAAUGGACUUUUGAGCUUCACUUGUGAACUUUAGUAGCUAGUGACGGCAGCCUGCCGAUAUCCGGGCACCAUGUUUCAUGGACCAAGCGGCCUUUCGGGGCAACUUAGGGUGGCACCGCGGAAUAAUCCAUUCGUCCCUAUA